GACGAACCGAGCGAACGUUGUUCGGAAUCACUGGGCUUAAAGGGCGCGUAGGCGGGUGCUCAAGUCUGUGGUGAAAUCCUCCGGCUCAACCGGAGAACUGCCAUGGAUACUGGGCGUCUCGAGUGUGGUAGGGGUAUGCGGAACUAUCGGUGAAGCGGUGAAAUGCGUUGAUAUCGAUAGGAACUCCGGUGGCGAAGGCGGCAUACUGGACCACCACUGACGCUGAUGCGCGAAAGCCAGGGGAGCAAACGGG
rnacentral:rRNA from 1 species